UACGGAAGGGGCAAGCGUUGUUCGGAAUCAUUGGGCGUAAAGGGCGCGUAGGUGGUUCUGUAUGUCUACCGUGAAAGCAUACAGCUCAACUGUAUUUUGUCGGUAGAAACUGCAGGACUUGAGGCUGGGAGGGGCUGGUGGAAUUCCCGGUGUAGCAGUGAAAUGCGUAGAUAUCGUGAGGAAGACCAGUGGCGAAGGCGGAUCUCUGGACAGCUCCUGACGCUGAGGCGCGAAGGCUAGGGGAGCAAACGGG
rnacentral:rRNA from 1 species